rnacentral:rRNA from 1 species
UACGGGGGGGGCAAGCGUUGUUCGGAAUUACUGGGCGUAAAGGGCUCGUAGGCGGCCAACUAAGUCAUACGUGAAAUCCCUCGGCUUAACCGGGGAACUGCGUCUGAUACUGGAUGGCUUGAGUUCGGGAGAGGGAUGCGGAAUUCCAGGUGUAGCGGUGAAAUGCGUAGAUAUCUGGAAGAACACCGGUGGCGAAGGCGGUCAACUGGCCCUGAACUGACGCUCAGGCACGAAAGCGUGGGGAUCAAACAGG